UAAAUUGAUUGUAUCACAUGCAUGUUUCAUUUCUUCCUACUUAGUUAUGCUCUGAUCGAUCUGCUUAUCGCAAAUGGCUUAUGCUGCUGUAACUUCGCUUAAAGGAACACUCUAUCUACACUUCUUGCAAUCACAACCACGCUUGUCUCUUCAAGUCAAACAAGAGAUAGUUAAUUCUCUCCAUGAAAAUCUUGGUUUCCUCCUAGAAAUUCUUGAGAAAUCUGAGAUCGCCUAUAAUAAUUCGGCGAUGAAAGAUUUAGAGGCAGAGAUGAGAGAUGUAGCCUUCGAAGCUGAAGCAAGGAUUGAGAUGGAGUUGAGAAGCAUAUAUCUAGCAAAGGGUUGGACAAAGCGUAUUCGUAUAAAGGCUUCCCUCCUUAGGCUUCGUGGAAUCUUGAAUGAAGCAGUAAAACAGACUGAUUACCUCAAGAAGAAGUUGAUUAAAAUUAGUGCAAAGCAGCUUGCAAAGGGCCCAUCACAAGGUGAAAGGAUCACUGACGUUUCACUCCUUGGUCGGAUGCGACAAAGAGGACUACUCCAUGGUUCAACAUCAUCACAGCCUGAUCUAGAACGCGAGAAUAAUAUUACUGGGAGUAAAUUUUCCAAAAACGCUUCAAUAAAGUUUGGCAGUAGAAUGGUCGGAUGCAACGAGGAGUUCAAGACGAUAAUGGAUCAGCUCACCAAACAAUCAGCAAAGCAGCUACAAGUUGUAUCAAUCGUAGGCAUGGGCGGAAUAGGCAAGACCACUUUAACUCGCAAAGUUUAUGAAGAUUCAUCAAUUAUUUCUCAUUUUUACAUGCGAGCAUGGGUUACAGUAUCUCAAGAGCAUAAUCUGCCACAAAUGCUCCAAUGCCUUCUUGGUUGUGUUAGCGCAUCAAGUGAUGAACAAAGCAACAAUGACGACCAAGGCCAAUUAGCAAAUCGUCUACGCAAACACUUGAAGGAACAAAGAUAUUUGAUAGUGAUGGAUGAUAUAUGGAGCUCUACUGCUUGGGAUAGUGUGCAAAGGUGCUUUCCAAAUGAUAAUAAUGGAAGCCGGAUACUAUUGACUUCUCGGCUCAGGGAGGUGGCUGAAUAUGCAAGUUCAGGUAACGCUAUCAUUAACAUGCCUUUCUUAGAUGUCGAUAAAAGUUGGAAUCUCUUUUGCAAUGUGUUUGGUCAAACGAAAUUUCAUUCAGUGUUUGAGCAAAUUGGUAGAGACAUAGUGAGAAAAUGUAAUGGAUUGCCUCUAGCUAUUACUGUAAUAGCUAGUCUUCUCUCCAAGACAGAGGUGGCAGUGGAGAAGUGGGAUAAUGUUGCAGAAAAUGUGAGUAGAUAUGUAAUUGGUGAUUCUAAUGAUGCAUGUUCCAAAAUACUAUAUUUGAGUUACAACCAAUUACCACACCACUUAAAAGCUUGUUUUCUAUAUUUUGGAGUUUUUCGAGAAGACUAUGAGAUCCCAGUAAAGAAGUUAGUUAGGUUAUGGACGGCAGAGGGAUUUUUGAGGGCAGUGGACCAUCAAAAUAUGGAGGAAGUGGCCAUGGAAUGCUUGCAAGAUCUUGUUGAUAGAAGUCUUGUUUUUGUUAGCAAACAGAGCUACAACGGGAAGACGAAGGCAAUAAGAAUACAUGACCUGUUGCGUGAUUUGUGUUUGAGAGAAGCUCGACUUGAAAAUCUCUUGAAUGCCAUUAGAGAUGAAAAACUUCCAUUUUACAAGAAGAAAAUCUCUUGUCGUUGGAUAACUGCUACAUCUUGGUUUCAUCUACGUGCUUUGACAAAGUGCUUUCACAAAUCACAUUCCUUCCACUCUCAUUAUGUUUUUUACUAUUUCAACUUUGCAAGUAUGCUACGUCUAUUUUCACACUUCAAACUACUAAGAGUAGUAGACAUAGAGUGUAUAUCUUCCCAUGAAUUUGGGGUACUACAUGUUCUUGCAAAUCUUAUUCAUUUGAGAUACUUAGCUUUGAGGUAUUCUAGAGAUAUUUUUCCCAUAUGUUUUUGUUUAGAGCUCUUUGAGCAUUCGAAUAUCCAAACCUUUAUUGUUCCUGGAUGUCGUGCUAUAGUGGAUUCCUCUAAGGCAUAUGGAAUUUGGAAAAUGCCACUAUUAAGGAAUUUUUGUGUUGAUCGGAUUUUUUCAUUAGGAAAUUUGUCAUUUGUUCAUACAAACUUAGAGCGUAUAUCUUUGUUGGAUUCUAAGCUUUGUACAAAGGAUCUGUUUACAAGGAUUCCAAAUUUAAAAAAAUUGGGGAUUGAUGGUGGAUACAUUGAAAACAAUCUUAGAUUGUUUUUAUAAUUUUGUGCACUUGGGACAGCUUGAGGAGCUAAGCAUCAAAGAGUGGUCUAAUCUCAACCAUAUUCCAUGUAGCGGCAUUCCAUGGGGAACUAGUUUUCUACAAAAUCUUAAGAAGCUCAAAUUCUUCUUGACUUAUUUGACAUGGAGUGAUAUAAGGCUUUUUGGUAUGUUGCCGAAUCUAGAAGUUCUAAAGCUGAAACGUGCUAUUGCUAGCAACGACAUAACGUGGGAGCCAUCCGAGGAAGGAUUCCGUCAAUUGAAAAGAUUGGUAAUUGAAGAUACAUUUUUGGAACAUUGGAAUGCCGUGGGUGACCAUUUCCCUCUGCUAGAAUGUUUAGAGUUACGCGAAUGCAAGCAUUUGCGAGAGAUCCCUAGUGGUUUUGCCGAUAUCACUACACUAGCACUGAUUCAAUUGAACCGUUGUUGGGAUUCUGUUCUGGUUUCGGCAAAGUUGAUUCAAGAAAAGCAAUACAGCAACUAUGGAAAUGCCCUCCUUGUUCGUUCGGAAAGUAUUAUGACAGAAGGUGUAAACAACUCAGAGGAAGAGAGUGAUGAAUGGAUGACUGCAUAGUGGUUUUUGCAUUUGUUUAUUGUGGAUGCUUUGGCGGAUUAGGCAGGUAAAGUGCAAUGGAUGCUGUGGUUUUUUUGUUGGAUUACUCAGGAAUUUACGCACUGUAUUGCACCAUGUACCAUUAUGGUGAGCUGAAAUGGUUUCUGCUUCUCGGAACUGAUUUUUUUUUUUUCUUUUAACUGUAAAUGAAAUGAAGUUGUAUUGUUUGGCCAUGACACAUAUGAUGCACAUAUAUGCUAUAUUACAACAUAGGAAUGAAUGGACCUACUUUAUCUUU